CCCGCCCCGCCUCCCCCGUCCAUUCCGAUUCCUCCGCCUCCCCGGUGGAUCGAUGCUCUGUCCCGGUCGGUCUCGGCCGGCGCACAUGUGCCUCGCUAGUCCGUUUGGUGGUUUGUCUAGUCUCCUACCACCGGUAUAUUUUCCGCAUGCCGCAUGGAUUUUCCCUUGGGAUUCGAUUGGCCCGAUGAUGAUGGAUAGGUAGACCCGCUCAGAUCUGAGCUCGAAAAGCGGUCAGGAAUGUCUACUGCGGCGGCGCUGGCUUCUCUGUUCUGGGCGCCGAGGCCUGUGUCCGGGCCAGCCCUUGCUUCCGCUGCACUGGAGCUCUGUCACUGGCCUAGAGCCGGCCCUUGUUGAGGCCUACUCCUCCUCCUCCUCGCCGUCGUCGCCGUCGCACCUUUGCCAUGGCCUCGCUUCCCCUCGCCUCUUCUUUCGGUUCACCCGGACACGCCCCCAGUGCCAGCUUUGGAGCCCGCCGCCUGCAUUAGCCUACGACGAAACUGAGAUCUGAGGGCCAUGUUGUUUGGUGCUUUCUUGUGGUUUGAUGCUUUAUUCUGAUUGAUCUCGCCAUAGAUUUACUUUCCCGGUUUGUUUUGUGCACUUGCAGUGUAAUACCAUGUUUUCGCUUGCUGCAUGGAUUUUCCUUUCUAUUGGCCUGAUGAUGAUUAGGGUGAGAGGCCCAUGUGGGGAUGGAUGGAUGGAUAGGUCGAUUGAUCGGCUCAGGUUUAAGCUUGAGAUGGGAUUAGCCCUUGCAUUCGCAAGCUUGAAGCCCCUGAAAUGGCUAAUACAGCGCCGGCCUUCUCUGUUCUAGGCGCUGAGGCAUGUGUGCGUGGGUUGGCCGUUGCUUUUGCUCAAGCUCCGCCACUGACUGAUGGGCUAGUUCCCUUCUUCCUUCCUUCCUCCUCUUCCUACCAGCUUACGGGUCACCGUGGUCACACAUCUGUCGCUGCCGUCGUGGGCGUUGUCAUGACCACCGCCAUCGCCUGGUCUUCUCUAUUGGUCCACCCAGACAUGUCACAGUGCCAGCUUUGAAGCCCGCUGCAUUAGCCUACGAUGAACCUGAAAUCUGAGGGCCAUGUUGUAAUACGAAUUCUCAGGAUUUUCGUUUGAAUCGAAUUCUUUUGCGUGGACUCACUCUAAAACAACCAGCUUGCACAUGGUCUUAUACUGUUGUGCAGUGCGCAAUGGUGGAACCCGAACUCACAAUGUGUGAAGCAGUGCUUUGCCUUUGGGCCAUGCAUGUGCGCCUGCCUGUCUUUGCCGAGAUCUGGUCUAGUGUUUUGGUAAGAUAAUUAACUGGCCGCACUUAAUCAGCCACAACCAUCCCUCAUGUGUUAGAUAUGAUGGCGUAGGAUCACCCUGACAGAUGUUACCCUAUAUUCUUGUUUUCGUUCCUUUUUCCUUAUUCUGUGUCAUGUGUCGUUUGAAUAACUGUUCAUUUGCCAUUCUUGAAUGCAGGUUGGCUCUUUUGUACUACCUCCGUCACGGUUUAGAAGGCACGGUUAAGUUUGCGUGCAUUUCCACAACACACAAGGUUUAAGGCGCAUUGCAUUUACUCCUAGCAGCUAAUUAGUACUCCAUUGUACUACUUCUAUAUGCAUGCGUAGUGUGAAUACAAUUUUUCAACUCAUUUUACAGCCAAUCAAUAACCACCUAGGUUCUAGAGAAUUUCCAUGCACGCCUUCUAAACUGUGACGGAGGGAGUAGGAAAUAUUGACAUGCUUUUGCUACAGAAAUAGUGUUUAAAAAACUUCUUAUUUGUUUUCUGUUUUUUCUUUCAGUUAGUUUUCUUACCAGUUCAACCUCAUAUUAUAUCUUCCAUUUAAUAAGAUCCUAACCGUGAACUUUCCGCUUUGCACCAAAAUUUCUCUUUUGAGUUUUUCACUAUAUAACAUGUUUUUUUUUGGGAUGGUGGUUACAAGCGUAUUGCCUAAUGAUUAAAACUAAUGUGAAGAGAUGGCACGUGACAUGAUCAUGUUAACCCUUCAUUUGCACUGCUAUCUCUUAUGCUUAGAUUUUGCAUUAUUGCCAUUUGGCUUCUUCAACCUUUGAGUUUGCUUCAGACCGUGGUCAGGUUUGUUCUGUUAAGUUAUGUUUCUGUUAUCUUUUUGUUUGUUGCUUUGUUUUGCUUUGGCUAUUUGUCUGAACCCUUCAUUUGCACUUAGUUUCUAUUGUGACAGAAUCCUGAUGUUUCAUUUUGUUCUUGAUGGUGGAUAGGAUCAUAUAAGUUUUCUCUUUUAUACAUUGCCCAAUGAUGAAAAUUGAAAAUGUAGAGAUGGCACUUGGACAUGAUCGUCUCCUCCCUGUCCCCCUUCUCCUCUCUCUCUCUCUCUCUCUCUCUCUCUCUCUCUCUCUCUGCGUGGAUGUGUAAUGGCACAUGCAGUAGCAACAGCAACAACAACAACAACAGCAGCAGCAGCAACAACAACAGCAGUUGAUACCAUAUCAAUCUUUCACAUGCCUUAUGGACUAAAGGGAGAUCAUUUCUUGUGUCAUCAAUGAAUGCUACAUCUAUGGCACCUGAGGGCAUGAUGUUUCUUCACCUUACACUAAUAACCGGCAAAAUUUGCAUGGAUACAUUCAUUUUCAGUUUCAUCUUCCUUCAAUAGCAUUGCUGUCUCUUACGUUCGAAUUUUGCAUCAUUUUCGCUUUGUUUCAUCAUUUUUGUGCAUUUGUUGUGGUUCCAUCUGAUUAUGAUUAAGUUUGCUCUGUUGAUUUCUUCAUUACUUUUGUAGUACCUUCUUAGCUUGUUGUUUUGCUUUUCACUUCAUCGGAGGAAAAUCUUUGGUGUUUCAUGAUUUAUCACGACUGACCACUGUUGUAAAUCAGCAUGCAUUUGAGUUCCGAUCUCGAAGUGGUAGCCCUUUACCAGCGUGAAGGUUUUGAAAUGGCCAAAGCAUUGUCGGUUUCUGUCUGUAAUGUUUAUUAGUGGUUUUUAGUUGGUAUUUUGGUUAUGGUUUGUGCUUCAAAAUUGUGCAUGAAGUCCUGAUACUGAUCCUAUACACCAAUUAGUAAUGCCUUCUACGGUGUAUUGCCCAUUGAUGAAGACUAAUAUGUAGAUAUGGCACAUUACAUGGUCCCUCACUCCCUCCCUCCCUCGAUCUCGGUAUAAAUGUACUUAGGUAAUCUGUUGGUGAUUUGUAGUCUGCUACUAGCAGUAUAUUUUUCACAUGCUGCAUGGAUUUUCCUUUGGAUUGGCCCGAUGAUGAUCAGGCUGAAACCCCCCAAUGCAGGGAUGUGGAUGGAUGGCUAGAUAGAUAGAUCAGCUCAGAUCUGAGCUUGGAAAGCGAUCAGAAAUGGCUAAUGCGGCGCUGUAUUCUCUGUUCUGGGCGCAGCUUUGCCACUGACCUAGGGGGCCGACCCUUGUUGAGGUCUACCUCUCCUUCCUUCUCCUCCUUGUUGUCGUCGCCGUCGCACUUUCACCAUGGCCUCGCCUCUUCUUUUGGUUCACCCAGACAUGCCCCCGUGCUGCCAGCUUUGUGGCCCGCUGCAUUAGCCUGCGAUGAAACUGAAAUCUGAGGGCCAUGUUGUGAUACAAAAUUCUCGGUAUUUUCGUCUGAAUCGAACUCUUUUGCACGGUCACACUGUAAAACAGACUGCUUAUGCACAUUGUGUUAUUUUGUAGUGUAGUAUGCAAUGGUGGAAUGGAAUGCCAUCUUACAAUGUGUGGAGCACUCCUAGGCUAGUGAUUUGUAGGAUAAUUAAUCGAUUGCACGGAAUCGCCCACGCUAAUCUCCUAUGUUUAUUUUCCUCUUUGUUUCCUUCGGCUUUCUGGUGGUUUGAUGCUUUGUUCUGAUUGAUCUCGGCAUAGAUUACUUAUGUGGGUUGUUUUGUGCGUUUGUAGUGUAUGCUAUGUUUUCGCUUGUUACAUGGACUUUCCUUUCUCUUGGCCUGAUGAUGAUUAUGGUGAAAGGCCCAUUGCGGGGAUGGAUAGAUAGCUCGAUCGAUCGGCUCAGGUUUAAGCUUUAAAUGGGAUCUCAGCCGUUGCAUUCGCAAGGUUGAGGCCCCUGAAAUGGCUAAUGCAGCGCCGACCUUCUCUGUUCUAGGCGCUGGGGCAUGUGUGCUUGGGUUAGCCGUUGCUUUUGCUCAAGCUCCGCCACUGACUGAUGGGCUGGUUCCCUUCUUCCUUCUCUUCCUACCAGCUCACGUGUCACAAUGGUGACACAGCUGUCGCUGCCGUUUCGUCGUAGUCACCACCACCACCACCACCAUCUCCUGGUCUUCUCUAUUGGUCCACCCAGACACAUUACAGUGCCAGCUUUGAAACCCUCUGCAUUAGCCUAUGAUGUACCUGAAAUCUGAAGGCCAUGUUGUAAUACAAAUUCUCGGGAUUUUCAUAUGAAUUGAACUCUUUUGUGUGGACUCACUGUUAAACAGCCAGCUUGCACAUGGUGUUGUACUGUUGUGCAGUGCGCAAUGGUGGAAUCUGAUCUCACAAUGUGCGAAGCAGUGCUUUGCGUUUGGGCCAUGCAUGUGCGCCUGCCUGUCUUUGCCGAGAUCUGGGCUAGUGUUUUGGUAAGAUAAUUAACUGGCUUCAUUUGCACUGCUAUCUCUUAUGCUUUGAUUUUGCAUUAUUGCCAUUUGGCUUCUUCAACCUUUUGAAUUUGCUUCAGAUCGUGGACAGGUUUGUUCUGUUAAGUUGUUCAUUAUGUUUCUGUUAUCUUUUUGUUUGUUGCUUUGUUUUGCUUUGGUUAUUUGGACCGAACCCUUCAUUUGCACUUAAUUUCUAUUGUGACAGAAUCCUGAUGUUUCAUUUUGUUCUUGAUGGUGGAUAGGAUCAUAUAAAUUCUCUUCUAUACAUUGCCCAAUGAUGAAAACUGAAAAUGUAGAGAUGGCACUUGGACAUGAUCCUCUCCUCCCUGUCCUCCUCCUCGUCCUCUCUCUCUCUCUCUCUCUCUCUCUCUCUCUGCGUAGAUGUGUAAUGGCAGAUGCAGCAGCAGCAACAGCAACAGCAGUUGACACCAGAUCAAUCUUUCACAUGCCUUAUGGACAAAAGGGAGAUAAUUUCUUGCGCCAUCAAUGAAUUCUACACCUAUGGCACCUGAGGGCAUGAUGUUUCUUUACCUUACACUAAUAACCAGCAAAAUUUGCAUGGAUACAUUUAUUUUCAGUUUCAUCUCAAUAGCAUUGCUGUCAGAUUUUGCAUUAUUUUCGCUUUGGUUCAUCAUUUUUGUGCAUUUGCUGUGGUUCCAUCUGAUCAUGAUUAAGUUUGCUCUGUUGAUUUCCUCAUUACUUUUGUAGUACCUUCUUAGCUUGUUGUUUUGCUUUUCACCUCAGCGGAGAAAAAUCUUUUGUUGUUUCAUGAUUUAUCACGACUGAUCGCUGUUGUAAAACAGCAUGCAUUUGAGUUCCCAUCUCGAAGAGGUCCUUUACCAGGUUGAAGUUUUUGAAAUGGCCAAAGCAUUGUUGGUUUCUGUCUGUAAUGUUUAUUAGUGGUUUUUAGUUAGUAUUUUUGUUAUGAUUUGCUUCAAAAUUGUCCAUGAAGUCCUGAUACUGGUUCUAUACACCAAUUAGUAAUGCCUCCUACGGUGUAUUGCCCAAUGAUGAAGACUAAUAUGUAGAGAUGGCUCCCCCAACCCCCCAUCUCUCUGAGUACGUGCACGUGCUGACAGCAGAUAUAACUUUGUGGAUGGAUCUAAGAUCAUUAUUUGCGCUAUCAGUGAAUCGGACAUAUAUGAACAACUGAAGACACAAUUUGUUUGUUAUGUUUCUAGUAUCCUUUUUGUUGUUGUUUGCCUUCACUUUGGCUAUUUGAUCUGAUCGAUGUUAGUAGUAGUUUUGUUUUCUUUGUUUAUUUUGUAGUACAGUUUUAUUGCUAUAUAUUUUGCUUGCUACUUGGAUUUGCCCUUGGCCCAAUGAUGAAUACGAUGGAGCCCUCAUGGAUGGAUCGUCUUAGAUUUGUGCUCCAAACAGGGCCAACUGUUGCAUUCGCAAAGUUGAAGCCCCUGAAAAUGGCUAAUGCAGCACCGUCUUCUCUGUUCUGGGUGCUGAGGCAUGUGUCUUGGGUCUACCGUUGCUUGUGCUGAAGCUUUGGCACUGACUCUGGGCCAGGCAAAAGGCGCUCUUCUUCUUCUUCUUCUUCUUCACUCGGUUGUUGUUGUCUCUGGCAACUCAUGUGCUAUACCGGUGAACCAAGGCACGCCCAAGUGCCAGCUUUGAAGCCUGCUGCAUUAGCCUGUGAUGAGACUGACAUCUGAGGGUCAUAUUUUAAUACAACCUUGUUGGUAUUUUCAAUGGAAUCGUACUCUUUUGCAUGUGCUCACUGCCUAACAGCCAGUGUGCACUCAUGCUGUCAUGGUUUGACACUGUCAUGGAGAUGCCCAAUGGUGUAAUUGGGCAGGCAUGCUUUGCUUCUCUUAUUUCACUAUCAUGGUAUAUUAGCUAAGGUUUAGGCCAGUGUUUUGAAUAAAGGUAUGUGCUUCAUGGUGCUGAACUGUAUAUGCGGUUUGCUAGCACUUUCCAUCUGUUCGGACUUUUGGUUGCGUUGGCUAGUGCUGGAUCACUGUUCCACAAUCAAUGCCACAAAAUCACUCGCAUCCCCCUUCCAUAUUUUUAGAUAUGAUGGCAGAGGAUCACACUCUGACAGAUCAUACUAGUUCAUCUGAGGAUAGUUUUUCAUACAUCCAUUCUUUUUAUUUCUUUGUGCUAUUAUUAUUGUUGUGUCACGUGUCAUAUGUAUCAUAAACAUUUCAUUAUCCAUUCUAAGAUGCAGGUUGGUUCUUCUAUGUAGUAAACGCUAUAUCCGCAUUUAGUCAUCAAAUGUCUUGUCUAUGUUUGUUGAUUUUCUUUCUGCUUUAUUAUCAGUUUGUGUUUUUUCCUGUGUCUCUUUGCGAAACCUCAUAUUACACCUUGACCUAACUGAUAUCCCAAUUUUGGGCAUUUGGCUUGCCCUUAAUUUCUAUUGUGACAGAAUCCUGAUGUUUCAUUUUUGUUCUUGAUGGUGGAUAGAAUCAUAUAAGUGUUGGCUUCUAGUAUAAUGCAUCACCCAAUGAUGAAAACAGGAAAUGUAGAGAUGGCACUUGGACAUGAUCCUCUCCUCCCCCCUCCCUCCUCUCUCUCUCUCUCUCUCUCUCUCUCUCUCUCUCUCUCUCUCUCUCUCUCUCUCUGCAUGGAUGCGUAAUGGUACAUGCAGCAGCAGUAGCAGUAGCAGUUCACAACAGAUCUUUCACAUGCCUUAUGGACAAAAGGGAGAUCAUAUCUUGUGCCAUCAAUGAAUGCCUACAUCUAUGGCACCUGAGGGCAUGAUGUUUUUUUUUCAUACCUUGGUAAUUAGUGUCAAAAUUUGCAUGGAUAUAUUUAGUUUCAGUUUCAUCUUCCAGAUUGUCUCUGUUGGCUUGAUGGGGACCCUUCACUAGCAUUGUUGUCUCUUAUGUUCAGAUUUUGCAUCAUUUUCGCUUUGCUUCAUCAUUUUUUUGCUGGGGUUUCGUCUGAUUAUGAUUAAGUUUGCUCCGUUGAUUUUUCAUUACUUUUAUAGCACUCACUCCGUCCCAAAAUAAGUGUGGCUGAUUUAGUAAAAAGUUGUACUAAAUCAGCGACACUUACUUUGAGACGGAAGGAGUAUCUUUUUAGCUUGUUUUGCAUUUCACCUCAGCAGAGGAAAAUAUAUAGUGUUUCAUGAUUUAUCACGAGUGAUCGCUGUUGUAAAUCAGCUUGCAUUUGAGUUCCAGUCUCGAAGUGGUAGCUCUUUACCCAGGGUGAUGGUUUUGAAGUGGCCAAAGCAUUGUUGGUUUCUCUCUGUAAUGUUUAUUAGUGGUUUUGGUUGUGACUUGGUACUUCAAAAUUUUCCAUGAAGUGCUGAUACCGGUUCUAUACACCAAGACUAGUCUUUUGGAUGGUGGUUAGAAGUAUAGCCCAAUGAUGAAAACUAAUACGUAGAGAUGACACAUGACAUGCCCCCUCCCCCCCUGAGUGUCCACCUGUGUGUGCGCGCGCGCGUGCGUGUGUUGACAGCAGAUUUACCUUUGUGGAUGAAUUUAAGAUCAUCCCUUGUGCCAUCAGCGAAUGCUACAUAUAUGAGCAACUGAAGGCGCAUGCUUCAUUUUUGCCAUCUUACACAAAUUAUGGGUAAACCUUUUUUAAUAUAUUUAUUUUUGGUCUCAACUUCCAGAUCUGUAUAUAUUGGCUUGAUGGAAAUCCUUCAUUUGCAUUCCUGUCUCUUAUGUUUAGAUUUUGCAUUAUUGCCAUUUGGCUUCUUCAGUUUUGUAAAUUUGUUUGUUUCAUCUGGGCAUCGUCAUUGUUUGUUAUGUUUCUAGUAUCUUUUUUGUUGUUGUUUGCCUUCGCUUUGGCUAUUUGAUCUGAUUGAUCUUGGUAUAGUUUUAUUUUCUUGGUUUAUUUUGUAGUAAAAUUUUUACUGCUAUAUAUUUUGCAUGUUACUUGGAUUUGCACUUGGCCCCAUGAUGAUUAUGAUGGAGCCUCCAUGCAUGGGUGGAUUGGCUUAGUUUUGAGCUCCAAACAGGCCCAGCCACUGCAUUCACAAAGUUGAGGCCCCUGAAAUGGCUAAUGCAGCACUGUCUGCUCUGUUCUGGCCGCUGAGGCAUGUGUCUUGGGUCAGCUGUUGCUUCAGCUGAAGCUUUGCCACUGACUGAUGAGCCGUCCCAUACUGCCUGUCCAUCUCUCCCCCUUCCUUCCCUUCCUUCUGGCUCAUGUGUCACUGUGGUGACACCGCCUGCCCUCGUUGCCGUCGCCGUCGUCGUUGCCAUCAUCUUGUGUCCUCUAUCUGGCUACCCAGACACGCCCAAGUACCAGCUUUGGAGCUCGCUGCCUGCAUUAGCCUAUGAUGAAACUGAAAUUUGAGGGCAAUGUUGUAAUACAGAAUUCUCCAUCUGAAUUGAACUUUUUUGCACGGGCUCACUUUCAAAACAGCCAGCUUUCUCAUGUAUGCACAAUGGUGGAAUGCCACCUUGCAAUUUGUGGAGCAGUCCAUGCGGGCAUGUAUACGCUGACUGCCUGUCUUCGUCAAUAUCUAGGCUAUUGCACUGGUAAGAUAAUUAUUUGAUAUCACUGAAUCACCCACACCCAUACCAGAUGUGUUAGAUAUGAUGUCAUAGUAUCACAUCUGACAGAUGUGACCAUUUCAACCAAGGAUAAUUUUUUGUAUAUUUAUAUUCUUGAUUUUGUUUCUUUUACGCUAUUUUGUGUCAUGUGUCAUCAAGAACUGUUCAUUUUCCAUUCUCAACUGCAGGUUGGCUCUUUUGUAGUAAAUAUGGCAUACUUUUAGUACAGAUUUAGUGGCGGGGCAUAUUUUAUAUGUGUCCUGCUUUUCUUUCUUUUUUCUUAGCAGUUUAACUUCAUAUUACAUCUUCCCCAUUUAAGAGCCUAAUUGUGAACUUAGGUCUUUGCGCAAAAAUUUCUAUUUUGACUACAAUGAUGAUUUAUUUUGUUUUGGAUGGUUCUUAGAAGUAUUACCUUCUAGAAUUUAUUGCCCAAUGAUGAAAACAAGUACUAGUAUGUGUGUGUGUGCUCACAGCUGAUUACAUUUGUUUAUGCCCUUAUGGAUGAAUUGAAGAUCGUCUCUCUGUCUUGUGCCAUCAAGCAAUGCUACAUGUUACAUACUCCCUCUGUCCCAAAAUAGCUGUCUCAACUUUGUACUAGCUCUAGUACAAAGUUGUAUUAAGUUUAAGACACUUAUUUUGGGACGGAGGGAGUAUAUGAAUUACUGAAGGCACAGGCUUCAUUGUCAUACCUUACACAAAUUACAGUAAACUUUUGUUUGAUACAUUGAUUUUCAAUUUAGUCUUGCAGAUCUGUAUAUAUUCGCUCAAUGGAAACCCUUCAUUUGCUUAGAUUUUGCAUUAUCACCACUUGGCUUCUUCAAUUUUGUGAUUUUGCUUGUUUAAUCUGGUCAAGGUCAGGUUGGUUCUUCUGUAUUAAAUGUAACAUGCUACAGAUUCAGUGAUAAAAUGUCUUGUCUAUGCUUGUUGAUUUUCUUUGUGCUUCGUUAUCAGUUUUCCUAUGCCUCUUUAUGAAACAUCAUAUUACACCUUGACACAAUUAAUAUCCCAAUUGUGAACCUCUGGCCUGCACUAAAUUUCUACCUUCCCUCCCUCCAUCCUUUCCUCUCUCCCUCGUAAUGGUACAUGCAGCAGCAGCUCAUACCAGAUCAAUUUUUCACAUGCCUUAUGGACAAACGGGAGAUCAUUUCUUGUGCCAUCAAUGAAUGCUACUGCUACAUUUAUGGCACCUGAGGGCAUGGUGUUUCUUUUUCAUACCUUACACUAAUUACCGGCAAAAUCUGCAUGCAUAUAUUUGUUUUUGGUUUCAUCGUCCAAAUCCGUUGCUAAUCUAAAUUGGAUAUUCUAAAUAUAAGAGGAUGUGGUUGCAGACCUGUGUGUGUGUAAUGAAUUGGAUAAAAUUUAUUUUAAGGUGACUAAUCUAACUAUAGGAGGAUGCGGCUGCAGACCUUGGGAUGUUUUCCAGUUUAUUGUUGGAAAUAAUUGGUCGGCUGUUAAUUUGAAGAUGACAAGGACAUAACGAGGAGUAAAAUUUAAAGGCUUCUUUAGUGGAGGGGUACGAGAAGCCCGGAUCAGCCAAGGAAGCAGGCGAGAGCUGCCGUGUAUAGAUCGGUCGAGGGAGGAGUUUUGUGCUAUUUGUUUGGGAUCUGCUUUGAAGCAAGCACCAUUCCUUGCGGUCACACGUAAAUUUUAAGUCCUGUCUAUUAAUAGUUGGUUCAGAACAUUUGGAGCACAUUGACAAGUUUCAGUUUUAAGGAUUUAUGAUACCCCAUUUCCACUGUUUUUUCCCAAUAUGUCAAUGUGUGACGUGUCUAAACCUCAUUAUUUCCCUUUGUUAUAGUCAUUAUUCAGCAUGGAGCAGCACCGCUGCACACUUAUCAACAGAUCAUUCAUAUAAAACUUGAUAUAUUGCAGAGUUGUGCUUCCAUCAUUUCCUAAGAUAUACUGAAAUUAAAAGUUCAGCUUCUAUUUGUCGAGCUAGUUUCUUUUCACAGCCGACAGCAGAACCUAAAUAAUAUGUCCUUAAUAUGCUUUAAUUCCUAUAAUCAACGGCUACAGAUUUCUUCCAACACUGUAAUGCUAGGCUGGGGUUUGAGGUUUUCGCUACUGCUCUCAUCUUCGAUGCUAUCUCAAAUUACUAACAUUUUAAUAUUAUGUUUCACUUUCACCAGGAUUAGGUUCUUUUAUCCAUGUGGUGGUAUGAUUUAAAUGUGAGAACAGAGGCCAUGUAUUUACCACGACGUACAUCGUAGUUUGAGUUUUCAUCAAUGCUGUUGUUAUUUUUAUCCAUCUGUAGCGUCAUAUAAAUGAGUUCUGACAUGGUCAUUUCACAGAAUGAGUAAACACCAUGUGAAAGAUAUUAUAAAAGAGUUCUACCGAUCUCUGGUUGGUCGGUAGAAGCUUCACUCGCGACUGUGUGCCUUUCUGCCUUAAGAAGUUCUUUUCCUUGUCGAAGAACAGUAUAAUGUUUAUGGGCCAGUUUACAUGUGGUAGAAAAAUAUCAGUGAAUGUAGCAGAUAUUUUGCAUUGACUUUAAACCAGUCUCACAUGGAGAACAGUCUCAUUGUGUCAUAAGGUGAUAACUAUAAAGCCCACACCAUGUGAAAGAUAUUAUAAAUUUACUCUUCAUAGACUGUUUUCUACUACGAGCACUUGAUUGUCUUGUGACUGUAGCCAUGGAUAAAGUACAACUUAAUUUGAUGUGUAAUAUCAUGACGUGAGAUGUAGUUCUCCUGUUGAAUUAAUUCCAUUUAGAAUCACUGUGCUCGAGGUAGACAAGCAAAAUAGGUAGUGCAUUUACCACCAUGAUAUGAGCCAUUAGCCUUGCUUCCUAGAGAAAUAGAUAUAUGUUCCAAUGUCUUGGUGAGGUUUCUUGGUGGAUCGGAGCAAGCAACACUGCAACAGUACCAGAUGGUGUGGGUAUGUUUCAAAAUUUUCUGCAUUUUGAGGAUACACUUCCAUCCUUUAGGAAAUUAUUCUCUUGUUUAAGAUGUUUCAGUAUCAACUACUUUCAUCUUUCGAUUUCCAUUUUAAUCCUGGUUCAGAGAGUGGCCUUUUUAUUCCUGUUAUUACACUUGAAUGCUAAAUUGCAAAGUGACACAUGAAUUGUUCUGAAGGACUGAUGGUGAUGUUUUCAUAUCGUCAUUCUUACUGGGUGGCUAUUGGCUCGGUCAUUUUUGUAAUCAUGAAAUGUUGCCAGAUGCUGGACAUGCAUAUCAUCCUAAUUAUUUCCAUGGUUUAUUUAAUAGAACACUAAGUUAUUUUAAAUAGAGGAAACAUAUUUCUCAUCGUCUAUUACUUAAAGAGUGAGUUUUAUCACAUAGCCCUUUGUGGGUAAAGAUACAAGAGUUUACACCCCAAUCUCUUGCUGUUUGUUGCAUCAAGUUCUUCUGUGCCCAUGGGCGCUCAUUUGCUGACAACCCAUUUGUUCUAUAUGGUUGUUGACAAAAGGUGGUUAUAUCUGCACUGCCAUUGUUCAUGAAAAUUAUUGUUAUAGCAGGUCCUAAUAUUUGACAUGGAUCCUUUAUAUUCUGAAAACAUGUGUUGUUUGUCCUUUCAAUAACUAACUUAAAUAUUUGAAUUAUGCAGAGUGUGAGAAAUUAGUGAUGUCAACUUUCUGAUAGGGAAAAAAGGAAAACAUGUGCUUCUGUUAUAUGCCGGAAGAUUGUGCUUAAUGGGAGAGCAUGAAUGUUUCAUUAAGCUGCUUUGGCCCCAGGUGUGUUCCAUAUUCGCAUUGUUCCAUUUGCGACUAUCUUACUAUAUGCCACCUAAGAUUUGGUUGAUAUUCUACGCAGGCAGAAUCUGGUGAUGCAGUACAACGUUUUCAUGUUUCGAUUUCCAUUUUAAUCGUGGUUCAGAUAGCGACCAGUUCAUAACGUGAGCUCUACUGUUGGAAUUCUAUCCUUCGGUGUUCCUUGGUUCCUCUGAUCAUUCCACUCGCUGAAAUGAGAGACAGGCCCGUAGUUAGUUUACUUAUGCCAUCAAUACUCAUAAAUGAGAGACAAGCUGGGGAAUCCUUUGUUACCUAAAGGUUAAUUAACUUUGUUCUUUUGUUUUUAUUGUUGUGUGAUACAUAUCCACCCUUCCCAAAGUUUUGUGUGGUAGCUGUAAGUUGGCAUGUUCCCAAGUGCUGAUGGACCCUAAAACCUGAAUGUUGUACUUGGUUUGUAAGGUCUUACAGUUUCAGUGCUUUAUUAUUUGCUCAUGGAGCUAUGGCUCUGUUACGUCGGGCUAAGGUUUGAUUUCUUGCAAGAGAAUGCCAAGGUGUAGAUGCAGACUCACUGAUCGAAUACUGGAAUAAGAAUGAUGAUCAAUGCUCUAAUGAAGCUGCAUGCUGUAGCAUUACUAUCAGGAUAUAUGGGCUAGGAACAUACUUUUUCCACAGCGGGUUAGCCAAGCGUGGUUUUCAGGUGAAGUUGCCUAUUAGUUUUUUCAGUUUUCUUGUGUCGAUUUCUCUUCUACUGUAAAACAAAGGUUCACAGUUAGUAUUCCCCUGAUCCAAGAGUUCUUUUACUUGGAAGAUCGGAGCAUUAUCGAUAGAAGAAUUGAGUUUUAUAGCAAUCUAACUUCAGACUUC